CAGCAGUCGCCGCGGGAAUACGUAGGGUGCGAGCGUUAAUCGGAAUUACUGGGCGUAAAGCGUGCGCAGGCGGUUCGUUAAGACAGAUGUGAAAUCCCCGGGCUUAACCUGGGAACUGCAUUUGUGACUGGCGAGCUAGAGUAUGGCAGAGGGGGGUAGAAUUCCAGGUGUAGCGGUGAAAUGCGUAGAUAUGCGGAGGAACACCGAUGGCGAAGGCAGCCCCCUGGGCCAACACUGACGCUCAUGCACGAAAGCGUGGGGAGCAAGCAGGAUUAGAUACCCGCGUAGUCCCUGUCUCUUAUAC
rnacentral:rRNA from 1 species